rnacentral:lncRNA from 1 species
UUGCAAAUUUAAGGAAAGUUGGCGGGUACACUGUUCGGAUGCUGGAAUUAUUUUUGGACGAACGUGCGAAGAUAUUGUUUGACAAUCAGAUGAAAGGAAGACUGUUUGUGUUCAUGCCACAUUAAAAGUUGACCCAGUUGACCUCAUUCAUGGAGAUGCUGGCAAAGGAGGCUGUGGACCAAAUCUGCAAGCUAUUCAACGAGUGCUCCUCCGUUCUGCAUCUGGAAGUGUCUCGGAGUCAAACUGAGAAUGAGGACUUGAAGAAGAGGCUAGAUGCGUUUGAGACCAAAC